CCUACGGGUGGCAGCAGUGAGGAAUAUUGGUCAAUGGACGCAAGUCUGAACCAGCCAUGCAGCGUGCAGGAUGACGGCCCUAUGAGUUGUAAACUGCUUUUGUACGGGGGUAAACCCACUUACGCGUAUGUGUCUGCAAGUAUCGUAUGAAUAAGGAUCGGCUAAUUCCGUGCCAGCAGCCGCGGUAAUACGGAGGAUCCAAGCGUUAUCCGGAUUUAUUGGGUUUAAAGGGUGCGUAGGCGGUCGGCUAAGCUAGAGGUGAAAUCCCGCGCUCAACGUGGGAACUGCCGUGGGAACUGGCAAACUUGAGUGUGCGUGAGGAUAGUGGAAUUCGAGGUGUAGGAGUGAAAUCCGUAGAUAUCUGGAGGAACAUCAGUGGCGAAGGCGACUAUCUGGAGCAGAACUGACGCUGAUGAGCGAAAGCGUGGGUAGCAAACAGGAUUAGAUACCCUAGUAGUC
rnacentral:rRNA from 1 species